rnacentral:rRNA from 1 species
AGUGAACGCUGGCGGCAGGCCUAACACAUGCAAGUCGAACGGCAGCACAGUAAGAGCUUGCUCUUACGGGUGGCGAGUGGCGGACGGGUGAGGAAUACAUCGGAAUCUACUUUUUCGUGGGGGAUAACGUAGGGAAACUUACGCUAAUACCGCAUACGACCUACGGGUGAAAGCAGGGGAUCUUCGGACCUUGCGCGAUUGAAUGAGCCGAGGUCGGAUUAGCUAGUUGGGGGGGUAAAGGCCCACCAAGGCGACGAUCCGUAGCUGGACGGAGAGGAUGAUCGGCGACCUGAGAAGGGAGCAGGGCCCAAGAGGCCUGCGGGAGGCAGCAGUGGGGAAUAGGGGACAAGGGGCGAAAGCCUUACCCAGUGAUCCCGCGGGGGUGAAGACGGCUUCCGGUUUGGAAUUCCGUUUUUUGGGGAAAAAAAAGCAGCCGCUUGAUACCCCGCUGGUGUGACGGUACCAAAUAAAAAAGCACCGGCUAACUACGUG